GAUGAACGCUGGCGGCGUGCUUAAUACAUGCAAGUCGAGCGAACGGACGAGAAGCUUGCUUUUCUGAUGUUAGCGGCGGACGGGAGUGUAACACGUGGAUCACCUACCUAUAUGACUGGGAUAACUUCGGGAAACCGGCGCUAAUCCCGGAUAAUCUUUUGCACCGCAUGGUUCAAUAGUGAAAGACGGUCUUGCUGUCACUUAUAGAUGGAUCCGCGCUGCAUUAGCUAGUUGGUAAGGUAAAGGCUUACCAAGGCAACGAUGCAUAGCCGACCUGAGAGAGUGAUCGGCCACACUGGAACUGAGACACGGUCCAGACUCCUACGGGAGGCAGCAGUAGGGAAUCUGCCGCAAUGGGCGAAAGCCUGACGGAGCAACGCCGCGUGAGUGAUGAAGGUCUUCGGAGCGUAAAACUCUGUUAUUAGGUAAGAACAGAUGUGUAAGGAACUGUGCACAUCGUGACGGUACCUAAUCAGAAAGCCACGGCUAACUACGUG
rnacentral:rRNA from 1 species